rnacentral:tRNA from 1 species
UAGACGGAUGCCCGCUGGUUUGGGCGCUUAGCUGUUAACUAAGAUUUCGCAGGAUCGAGGCCUGCCCGUCUAG